rnacentral:rRNA from 1 species
UUCCUCGACAAAUCUAUCCGCCAGAGAACUACUAGCAACAGCUUAAAACUCAAAGGACUUGGCGGUGCUUUACAUCCCUCUAGAGGAGCCUGUUCUAUAAUCGAUAAACCCCGAUACACCUCACCACCUCUCGCUAAAUCAGUCUAUAUACCGCCAUCUUCAGCAAACCCUAAAAAGGAAGAAUAGUAAGCACAAACAUCUUAACAUAAAAAAGUUAGGUCAAGGUGUAACCCAUGAGGUGGGAAGCAAUGGGCUACAUUUUCUAUAUCUAGAACAACCCUUUACGAAAGUCCUUAUGAAAUUAAGAACCAAAGGAGGAUUUAGUAGUAAAUUGAGAAUAGAGUGCUCAAUUGAAUAGGGCCAUGAAGCACGCACACACCG